rnacentral:rRNA from 1 species
GAUGAACGCUGGCGGCGUGCCUAAUACAUGCAAGUCGAGCGAACAGACGAGGAGCUUGCUCCUCUGACGUUAGCGGCGGACGGGUGAGUAACACGUGGAUAACCUACCUAUAAGACUGGGAUAACUUCGGGAAACCGGAGCUAAUACCGGAUAAUAUAUUGAACCGGAUGGUUCAAUAGUGAAAGACGGUUUUGCUGUCACUUAUAGAUGGAUCCGCGCCGUAUUAGCUAGUUGGUAAGGUAACGGCUUACCAAGGCGACGAUGCGUAGCCGACCUGAGAGGGUGAUCGGCCACACUGGAACUGAGACACGGUCCAGACUCCUACGGGAGGCAGCAGUAGGGAAUCUUCCGCAAUGGGCGAAAGCCUGACGGAGCAACGCCGCGUGAGUGAUGAAGGUCUUCGGAUCGUAAAACUCUGUUAUUAGGGAAGAACAAAUGUGUAAGUAACUAUGCACGUCUUGACGGUACCUAAUCAGAAAGCCACGGCUAACUACGUG